GGUCUCUUUGGACAUCCUCGCUGGGUUAUGGGGAGUGAAGAUGCCUCUUCGCCACAAUGAUUCAUCGCAUUGCAAUCUGUCUAUUGAUCAUCAGUCAGGACUCAGGCAGGCACUGCAGGUGCAACCAUCUCCCCACGGAGACCUGGACAUCGUCCAGCUGCACUGCACCAGGAGAGCAACUGUCGGGUCCCAUCGCACUGGGAUCUGCAUGGCUCCAGAGCCUGAGGUGGGGGCGGGUCCGUCCAGCAGAGCGUUACAACCACCCCACCCCGUAAUGACACAGCUACGCCUCAGGAGUUCCAUGAAGACUGAAACGUCCCGAGCCCGUCUCUUUUCUAAGGUUAGCUGACGCAUGUCUGCUCCAGACUUCAGGUCAGCGUCAGCCCCACGUGUCUCCAUCCUGGGCGCCUCGGACGUCAGAGCCUGCCCUUCUCUUGCCCAUUCCAAAAGGCCAACAGCCUAAGCAUCCCACACGAGCAGAUGUACAACCUCUUCUCAUGUCACGUCCACUUGUACCCCCUUGGCCAAGACCAAAGUCCUUGGGACGAGGCCGUCGCUCUGCUCUCUCUGCAGGGAAGCGCCAGAGGCCACGCGGCAGAGGGAAGCGAUUGUGAAAGGUAAUCCAGUCCGCGGCACCCACGUGGCUCUGAACCUUUCAGUGACACAGCAAUGACUUCCCUCUAUUGUCGAGUUCGAGUUUCAGGUUAUGUGCGACACAGAGGGUGCUGACCGAGACCCUGGGCCUGCCUCGUCGUUCCCGGCCACACCUGCAGACUUGCUAGUGUCUCUUUCAGAAGAACGUCUGAGACUCUGCACGUAGAGCAGAAAGCUGGUGAGAGAUCAGCGGCAGAUGACAACAGAGGUGGAGAUGAAAUUCUGGGAUCCAACGCCUUCUCGCUGCUGAGGUGGUGUUUGGGCGCUGGCUUCCAGCCACGAGUGUGAACAUCACAAAAUUCAGCCCGGGGCCAAGGCCACCCUGAAUUAAAGGAGUGACUGAAUCAACGAAAUGAAAUGAGCUUCUGUUCCCUUCAGACACCCACGGUCACUAACACACAGCCCUCUUGUCCUCUUGUUGACGCUGUUAAUUAACGUAGGGACGCAAAUCAGCCAGCUGAGCCAUGCCCACAGAUAGGAAGGACUCGGUAACUGUUAUCGAUCCUUUCUCCCCAUCUCUCAAAACAUCUGAAAUUUAAAUGAAGUCAAUCCAGUUGACAACUCUCAACCAAGAUCCUUCAGAGCCCCACAGCGGUUAAGGGGGCACUGCUAAGAACCAGCCUGCCGGGGUCCGACCCCAGCGUCUCCUCUUCUAGGCCAUGAGAUCCUGGGCAAGCGGCUUCACCUCUCUGAGCCUCAGUCUCCUCAUCUGUACAAUGGGUCCGUCACCCCCAUGCUGCGCUCUGGGGCUGAAUUCGAAGCUCCUCUCCUUCCCAGCCGUGCGAUCUGGGCAA
rnacentral:lncRNA from 1 species